rnacentral:rRNA from 1 species
GACGAACGCUGGCGGCGUGCUUAACACAUGCAAGUCGAACGCUGAAGCUUGGUGCUUGCACUGGGUGGAUGAGUGGCGAACGGGUGAGUAAUACGUGAGUAACCUGCCCUUGACUCUGGGAUAAGCCUGGGAAACUGGGUCUAAUACUGGAUAUGACAUGCCACUGCAUGGUGGUGUGUGGAAAGGGUUUUACUGGUAUUGGAUGGGCUCACGGCCUAUCAGCUUGUUGGUGGGGUAAUGGCCUACCAAGGCGACGACGGGUAGCCGGCCUGAGAGGGUGACCGGCCACACUGGGACUGAGACACGGCCCAGACUCCUACGGGAGGCAGCAGUGGGGAAUAUUGCACAAUGGGCGGAAGCCUGAUGCAGCGACGCCGCGUGAGGGAUGACGGCCUUCGGGUUGUAAACCUCUUUCAGCACGGAAGAAGCGAGAGUGACGGUACGUGCAGAAGAAGCGCCGGCUAACUACGUG